CACGUAGGGCGCAAGCGUUGUCCGGAAUUAUUGGGCGUAAAGAGCUCGUAGGCGGUCUGUUGCGUCCGCUGUGAAAACCCAGGGCUUAACCCUGGGCUGGCAGUGGAUACGGACAGACUAGAGGUAGGUAGGGGAGAAUGGAAUUCCCGGUGUAGCGGUGAAAUUCGUAGAUAUUGGGAAGAACACCGGUGGCGAAGGCGGCUCUCUGGACCGAGACUGACGCUGAGGCGCGAAAGCGUGGGGAGCAAACAGG
rnacentral:rRNA from 1 species